rnacentral:rRNA from 1 species
UACGUAGGGCGCAAGCGUUAUCCGGAAUCAUUGGGCGUAAAGCGCACGUAGGCGGUUCGUUAUGUCGGAUGUGAAAGCCCUUGGCUUAACCGAGGAAGUGCAUCCGAAACUGGCGAGCUAGAGUACUAAAGAGGAUCGCGGAAUUCCCGGUGUAGAGGUGAAAUUCGUAGAUAUCGGGAGGAACACCGGUGGCGAAGGCGGCGAUCUGGGUAGAUACUGACGCUGAGGUGCGAAAGCGUGGGGAGCAAACAGG